AGAGUUUGAUCAUGGCUCAGGAUGAACGCUAGCGGCAGGCUUAACACAUGCAAGUCGAGGGGCAGCAUAAUGGAUAGCAAUAUCUAUGGUGGCGACCGGCGAACACGGGUGCGUAACGCGUAUGCAACCUACCUUUAACGAGGGGGAUAACACUGAGAAAUUGGUACUAAUACCCCAUAAUAUCAUAGAAGGCAUCUUUUAUGGUUGAAAAUUCCGAUGGUUAGAGAUGGGCAUGCGUUGUAUUAGCUAGUUGGUGGGGUAACGGCUCACCAAGGCGACGAUACAUAGGGGGACUGAGAGGUUAACCCCCCACACUGGUACUGAGACACGGACCAGACUCCUACGGGAGGCAGCA
rnacentral:rRNA from 1 species